CAACCCUGAUCCAGCCAUGCCGCGUGAGUGAAGAAGGCCUUCGGGUUGUAAAGCUCUUUCGGCCGGGAAGAAAUCGCACAGGCUAAUACCCUGUGUGGAUGACGGUACCGGAAUAAGAAGCACCGGCUAACUACGUGCCAGCAGCCGCGGUAAUACGUAGGGUGCGAGCGUUAAUCGGAAUUACUGGGCGUAAAGCGUGCGCAGGCGGUUUAGUAAGACAGGCGUGAAAUCCCCGGGGCUCAACCUGGGAACUGCGCUUGUGACUGCUAAGCUAGAGUACGGCAGAGGGGGGUGGAAUUCCACGUGUAGCAGUGAAAUGCGUAGAGAUGUGGAGGAACACCGAUGGCGAAGGCAGCCCCCUGGGCCGAUACUGACGCUCAUGCACGAAAGCGUGGGUAGCAAACAGGAUUAGAUACCCUGGUAGUCCACGCCCUAAACGAUGUCAACUAGGUGUUGGGAGGGUAAAACCUUUUAGUACCGGAGCUAACGCGUGAAGUUGACCGCCUGGGGAGUACGGCCGCAAGGUUAAAACUCAAAGGAAUUGACGGGGA
rnacentral:rRNA from 1 species